GCAAAGGCUCUUUUCAGAGCCACCACCUUUUCAAGUAAAGUAGCUG
rfam:Homo sapiens chromosome 6, GRCh38 reference primary assembly.